AAUCCAUGCAUUGGGCAUUUAAGCAGAAAAUCUUUGAAUCUCUCCCAUGCCUCAUACAAAUUAUCAUCUUCUAAUUUCUUGAAAGACAUCAUAAUUGGUGGAUU